rnacentral:lncRNA from 1 species
CUCUCUCAAUUCACCUCUCAAACCCUAGUCGUCGCCUCACUUGAAACCCUAUCUAUGGCUUCUCAGACACAUCUAGGCCAUAUAUCACCCACCCAUGCCUCUACGUGCUCACCUAUGAGGUCCCAUGACUAGACAUUGAAGGGAUCUUAACCAAUCCUUUGCUCAAUGGCUCUUCUCCAGUCAUCCUUGACUUUUCUCCGGCCAGCCAUCAUUGUUCUAGUCAGAUCUGUGACUAUCCUACAUAUAUCGGGAGUUUUCAAAGCCUUUCUCAUCAUCUCCAGGGUUCUUCAAAACCCUAACUCUGAGGUUCUUACGAUUUUUUUUUAGAUCUGCCCUAGAUCUAUGUGUGUUCAAGUUUUCUGGGUGUGUUUCUCGAAGUUUCCCCAUUUUUUUCUUUCAAAAUUCUCUGUCCCCUUAACUAGGGUUUUGUGUUAAGUAAUUUUUCGAAUUUCCUUUUUUAUUCUCAGCAUGUUUUUGUGCUUUACUCGUGUUAGUUUCUUUAUCUGUGAAAGCAUGACUAGAAAAAUCUAACUUAUUGGUGAUUUUGUUUAAGUCUGUUCGUGAUGAUUUCAUUUGAUUUACAUGCCUACCUUCUUUAAGUUUAUAUGAUGUUAAAAAUCUAUAAAUUAUUGGAUCUAUUUGAGUUCUUGAUCCUAGCUAUUUUGUUUUACUGGAUAAUAGUCGAAACCCUUUUUUUUGGGGGGGGUGUUCACUUAGGACUCUGAAUUUGCUUUUGCUUUACCUGUUUAUCGUCUCUAGACCUAAUUGAUUCUGCAAAAACCUAGCUCCAAUUUGGGACUAUUCGAGCCUUUGGGUUUGUGCGAUUUGUCUGUUUGAAACUAUUCGACUUAAUUCUUGAAUCUCUUUCUCUAGGUGUUCUGAGUUCUUGCUCAACUCUUUGCAUGCUUUUAUUCUUUCUCUCUCAACUACACUGAACUGAACUAGCAUGUUUGAGUGUCUACUCUCUUAUAUCACUAUAUGAUAUUCCUUUUGCCCUAGCUUGG